rnacentral:tRNA from 1 species
GGCGAGGUAGCUCAGCUGGUUAGAGCGCAGGAUUCAUAAUCCUGAGGUCGGGGGUUCGAGCCCCCCCCUCGCUA